CUGCUUUAAAAAAACGGGCGUUUAGAUACUCUUUAAAUUCUUAUGAAUCUUAAAGAGUAUGAAUUAAAAAAAGGCUUUAUGAAGAAAGCACUUUAAGCUUUUCCAACGAUUUAAGAUGAUACCGGGGAAGGUUUUCCGGUUUAUCCCGGAGGGCUUGUAGCUCAGUUGGUUAGAGCGCGCGCUUGAUAAGCGUGAGGUCGGAGGUUCAAGUCCUCCCAGGCCCACCAAUUUAUGCUCGUUUUUUGCUUAUCUUGAGCCUUAUGAAGCUUAAGCGUGUCAAAGCCUCUUUAAUCUUUGUUCAUAGUUUAAAGAUUUAAUUUUAACGUCCCUUCAAGGGUGCAGAUAAAUUUAAAGAAUAAAAAUCAAAUUUAAGCAAUACAAAUCAAAAUAAUAUUGAUUAAAAGAGGAUUAAAAGAGGACAAGUCAUUCAAGUUGAUCAAUUUUCUUGAGAUUGAUUUGAGAGAGCAUUCUUUAGGGGCCGUAGCUCAGCUGGGAGAGCACCUGCUUUGCAAGCAGGGGGUCGUCGGUUCGAUCCCGUCCGGCUCCACCAUUUAGGUCAUCAUCAUGUUGUAAGAA
rnacentral:tRNA from 1 species